rnacentral:rRNA from 1 species
UACAGAGGUCCCAAGCGUUGUUCGGAUUCACUGGGCGUAAAGGGUGCGUAGGCGGUCGGGUAAGUCUGAUGUGAAAUCUCACAGCUUAACUGUGAAACUGCAUUGGAUACUAUCCGGCUAGAGGAAUGGAGGGGAGACUGGAAUACUUGGUGUAGCAGUGAAAUGCGUAGAUAUCAGGAGGAACACCGAUGGCGAAGGCAGGUCUCUGGGCUGACACUGACGCUCAUGCACGAAAGCGUUGGGGAGCAAACAGG